AUACGGAGGGUGCAAGCGUUAAUCGGAAUUACUGGGCGUAAAGCGCGCGUAGGCGGCUAUAUAAGUCAGAUGUGAAAUCCCUGGGCUCAACCUAGGAACUGCAUUUGAAACUGUAUGGCUAGAGUAUGGUAGAGGUGAGUGGAAUUUCAGGUGUAGCGGUGAAAUGCGUAGAGAUCUGAAGGAACAUCAGUGGCGAAGGCGACUCACUGGGCCAUUACUGACGCUGAGGUGCGAAAGCGUGGGUAGCAAACAGGAUUAGAUACCCUAGUAGUCC
rnacentral:rRNA from 1 species